rnacentral:rRNA from 1 species
GAUGAACGCUGGCGGCGUGCCUAAUACAUGCAAGUCGAGCGAACAGAUGAGGAGCUUGCUCCUCUGACGUUAGCGGCGGACGGGUGAGUAACACGUGGAUAACCUACCUAUAAGACUGGGAUAACUUCGGGAAACCGGAGCUAAUACCGGAUAAUAUAUUGAACCGCAUGGUUCAAUAGUGAAAGACGGUUUUGCUGUCACUUAUAGAUGGAUCCGCGCCGCAUUAGCUAGUUGGUAAGGUAACGGCUUACCAAGGCAACGAUGCGUAGCCGACCUGAGAGGGGGAACGGCCACACGGGAACCGAGAACCGGCCCAGACUCCGAGGGGAGGCAGCAGUAGGAAAUCUUCCGCAAGGGGCGAAAGCUUGACGGAGCAACGCCGGGGGAGUGAUGAAGGUCUUCGGAUCGUAAAACCCUGUUAUUAGGGAAGAAAAAAUGUGUAAGUAACUAUGCCCGUCUGGCCGGGACCAAAACAGAAAGCCCCGGCGAACUCCGG